UAGGUAAAUCAAUCAAGUUUUGUAUUUGAUAUACCCCCACAAAAAGUGCUUGGAGUAUCUGAAAAUUCACAUGAGGAUGUUGAACAAAUGUCAUGUCCAGUCCCUAUCCGGAUUUUGGAUCACAUGAAAGUGACAACCGAUUCACAGUUUGAAUUUGACGAUCAAUUCAUGCCUAGUCUCAAUUCUAUAAAGAGUAGCAUCGCACCACAUUCAACUUUGAUAAAAGGAUACACCGAACAGCUGUCAACAACAAUUGCAGGAUGCAUUAUAACAAAGGCAGAUCAGGCAACUAUCGAUGUCCAAUUGGGUACGAACAGUGAAAAUUUGAUGAUAGAUCAACCUAUCAGCAAUAACGAACAGACGCCAUUACCUACGCGUAGGAAUAGACGUCCAGGUCCUUAUAAUACAUCUCCGUAUCUGACCAAUUGUGGAUCAUCUGCUGGUACAAUAUUCCAUUUUUUUAAUACUUUUGUUAAUGUAAUCAUUUUUUUAUUGCUACUAUUAGUGUGUAUUUAAGUUAUAGUUUUUUGAACCAUUUCAGGUAGUUCAUCAAGUCAGCCCCACAUUUUUGAAUUGAAACACCUUUUUAUAUAUUUGAUUUGAUCUCUGGCGAUUAUGAUAUAACGUUGUGGGAUGCGUUUCGUUCAUGGAUCCGAGAUGGCUUACUUACAAAGCAUGACAGAAAGAAGCAUGAUCAAGACCAUUACAAGAAGAAUCUAGCUGAAAUUCCUGUGGCCAUUAACCUUGGCGUUCUCAUAGUAGACAAUAAGAAUUGGUUCUAUAAUCUGUAUUUCAAAGGACAGUUAUUGAAUAAUUCGGUAAGAGUUGUUUAGCAUUUAUCUUUACAAACAAUGAUUGAUUAGUAGUUAUAGUAUUUAUACAUUUGUCUUUAAAUUUGUCAGCAUGUUGAUGUGAUUUUAUAUUAUCUACGGAAAAAAGCCAAGUAUGAUGUUGGAGGCAGCUAUGUAUACACAACUGUAGAUUGUGUAUUUAGUUCAAAGAUCUCUGCUAUUUGGGAAAAAUAUUUGGAUUUAGAUAGCGAUGUUGGUUGUGCCGAUGAAGAACAUGUCAUUGGUGAAUACAUUAGAGGGUACAAAAUGCAUGCUGCUACACCUUGACAUAAGAUUGAAUAUGUUUUUGUUCUUGUCCACGUUAAGGAGAAAUUUCAUUGGGUGUUGGCUGUGAUAUCAUUGAAUGAUAAGUGUAUCAACGUGUAUGACUCAUAUAGGGCAGCAGGUCACGAUGCAGCUAUCAAGGCAGAGAUAGUUAAACUGUCUCAGUUGAUCCCUUUGAAGUUAUCAGUCAAUGACUAUUACAACAAUAAAGGAAUUGAUGUAUCGCAAGCUCAACAAGAGAAUGAGUUUUUUAAUGUAGUAUUCAUAGAUAAUGUUCCUCAACAGUCGCAUGGGUCUCUGGAUUGUGGUAUUUAUAUGCUAGCUUUUGCUGAAUACCUAUCAUACGGCCAUGGUAUUCCAGCGAAUAUUUUGGAUGCAUCGUGUUUACGGUCAAGAUAUGCUACACUUCUUUGAAAUUAUGGCCAACAAAAGAAUGACGCCGUUGCAAUAAGUGACAAUGAAGCACCUCCACGAUAUAGCAGAUUCAAUGUAGCAAUGGAAGAGAUUGAUACAAUUCAAAUAGAUUAGUUGUUGCCCAUUUUUUGAUGUGUAAUUGGACAUUAGUUUUUGUAUUCUAUGAAACAAUUUUAAAGGGUUCCAGUUCUUUUGUGUUUAUUAAUGUAUAAAAUCUUGAAGUUAUGGUUUCAAAGGUUAUGGGUUAAUAUUAAAGUGUUCAAGCUUAAGUUUAAGUGCAAUACAUAUGAUUCUACCAACAUACAAUAUAUAUAGAACAAAUAUAAUGUAGAUUAAAAUCAUGGAUACGAAUACAUUUCAUUAUAAAAGGUAUACCAAAAUAAUUACAAUAAUCUAACAAAAUGUAUGCAUUCAUAUGUUUCAAAUGGACGUAAGACUUGAUAUUAAAUUAUUAAAUUAUAAAUACAAUUAAUAAUACUAACAACAUAAAAAAGAUAGAAUACGUAUAGCGAAUAUGAAUACUUUUAGAGAGAAAACGAAUAUCAAAAAAAAAAAA